rnacentral:ncRNA from 2 species
UUCUUAUUCAGAGUGAUGGAGAUACAAAGGAUCUGUGAAGUCACGGCAACCCCAGAGAUGGAAGGUGCCAACCUGAGCGAGUAAUCGAACAAUAAGAG